AAAUUAGUGAAUUGAGUGAAAAAAAAAACGCGAUUAAAUUAUUUAUUUUUUUGUUUAUUUUCAUUUAAAGUGAAUUUUCUCUCUCUCUCUCUCUCUGGUACUACUACUACUACUACUACUACUACUACUACUACUACUACUACUAUUACUACUACUACUACUGCUACUACUACUACUACUACUACUACUCUUCCUCCUCCUCCUCCUCCUCCUCCUCCUCCUCCUCCUCCUCCUCCUACUACUACUACUACUACUACUACUACUACUACUACUUCUACUAUUUCAAUGGGUCUGGACGGAGUAGUGAGGUGGGUGUGCGUGUGCGCGGGCGUGGUGCUCUCUCUUAUCCCGCCCACGGCCGCCAUUCACAGGUCGCGUCAACACCACUCCCAGGUUAAUGAAGGUAUAAUUCCACCUCAUUACGACAAAUAUUUCGUGCCAGCUGUUGAUGGGUCACCAGUUAUUGUUUACUUCGACAUGACUCUGCUAGACAUCAGUUCAAUUAAUGAAAAUGAUAUGACCUUCAGCGUGGAAUGCUUUGUGUCAUAUCGCUGGAAGGACUGGAGGCUUCGCUGGAACCUCACCCAGCAGAAACUGAACCCCUGCUGGCACUCUGAUGUCCCUUCUCCCCCGACAAGGCCCCUGCAGUUUGACCAGAUUUGUCGCCCGAAUUUUACCACGAAAAUACCUCGAUGUGAGAAUCCGAAGACUCAGAAAGGAGAAAGGAACAUCUUGCCUUUAAAUUUCCUUGAAAAUAUUUGGCAACCUGACGCAUUUUUCAAGAACGGCAUUAAAUCCUCGAUUCACAAGGACUGGGUUGCUAAUGAAUAUCUUGCUUUCUACACCAGUGACGGCCAUAUACGCCUAUUCAGCAGG